GGUCUCAGGGAGGUAAGACAAAGCCGGCCGCAGCAAGAACUAAGGAGGCAGACGGUGAGGGCGAGGGACCCGAAGGCAGGCUCCCAGGGGGGGGCAAGACAAAGCCGGCCGCAGCAAGAACUAAGGGAGCAGAGGGUGAGGGCAGGGGACCCGAAGGCAGGCUCCCAGGGGGGCAAGAGAAAGCCGGCCGCAGCAAGAACUAAGGGAGCCCACGGUGAGGGCAGGGGACCCGAAGGAAGGCUCCCAGGGGGGCAAGAGAAAGCCGGCCGCAGCAAGAACUAAGGGAGCAGACAGUGAGGGCGAGGGACCCGAAGGAAGGCUCCCAGGGGGGGCAAGAGAAAGCCGGCCGCAGCAAGAACUAAGGGAGCAGACAGUGAGGGCGAGGGACCCGAAGGAAGGCUCCCAGGGGGGGCAAGAGAAAGCCGGCCGCAGCAAGAACUAAGGGAGCAGACAGUGAGGGCAGGGGACCCGAAGGAAGGCUCCCAGGGCGGGCAAGAGAAAGCCGGCCGCAGCAAGAACUAAGGAGGCAGAGGGUGAGGGCGAGGGACCCGAAGGAAGGCUCCCAGGGCGGGCAAGAGAAAGCCGGCCGCAGCAAGAACUAAGGGAGCAGACAGUGAGGGCGAGGGACCCGAAGGAAGGCUCUCAGGUGGGCAAGAGAAAGCCGGCCGCAGCAAGAACUAAGAAGGCAGAGGGUGAGGGCGAGGGACCCGAAGGAAGGCUCUCAGGGGGGCAAGAGAAAGCCGGCCGCAGCAAGAACUAAGGGAGCCCACGGUGAGGGCAGGGGACCCGAAGGAAGGCUCCCAGGGGGGCAAGAGAAAGCCGGCCGCAGCAAGAACUAAGGGAGCCCACGGUGAGGGCGAGGGACCCGAAGGAAGGCUCCCAGGGGGGCAAGAGAAAGCCGGCCGCAGCAAGAACUAAGGGAGCCCACAGUGAGGGCAGGGGACCCGAAGGCAGGCUCCCAGGGGGGCAAGAGAAAGCCGGCCGCAGCAAGAACUAAGGGAGCCCACGGUGAGGGCAGGGGACCCGAAGGCAGGCUCCCAGGGGGGCAAGAGAAAGCCGGCCGCAGCAAGAACUAAGGGAGCCCACGGUGAGGGCAGGGGACCCGAAGGAAGGCUCCCAGGGGGGCAAGAGAAAGCCGGCCGCAGCAAGAACUAAGAAGGCAGAGGGUGAGGGCCAGGGACCCAAAGGAAGGCUCUCAGGGGGGCAAGAGAAAGCUGGCCGCAGCAAGAACUAAGGGAGCAGACAGUGAGGGCGAGGGACCCGAAGGAAGGCUCUCAGGGGGGCAAGAGAAAGCCGGCCGCAGCAAGAACUAAGGGAGCAGACAGUGAGGGCGAGGGACCCGAAGGAAGGCUCCCAGGGGGGCAAGAGAAAGCCGGCCGCAGCAAGAACUAAGGGAGCAGACAGUGAGGGCGAGGGACCCGAAGGAAGGCUCUCAGGUGGGCAAGAGAAAGCCGGCCGCAGCAAGAACUAAGGGAGCCCACGGUGAGGGCGAGGGACCCGAAGGAAGGCUCCCAGGGGGGCAAGAGAAAGCCGGCCGCAGCAAGAAGUAAGGGAGCAGAGGGUGAGGGCGAGGGACCCGAAGGAAGGCUCCCAGGGGGGCAAGUGAAAGCCGGCCGCAGCAAGAACUAAGGAGGCCCACGGUGAGGGCGAGGGACCCGAAGGAAGGCUCUCAGGGGGGCAAGAGAAAGCCGGCCGCAGCAAGAACUAAGGGAGCCCACGGUGAGGGCGAGGGACCCGAAGGCAGGCUCCCAGGGGGGCAAGAGAAAGCCGGCCGCAGCAAGAACUAAGGGAGCCCACGGUGAGGGCGAGGGACCCGAAGGAAGGCUCCCAGGGGGGCAAGAGAAAGCCGGCCGCAGCAAGAACUAAGGGAGCAGAGGGUGAGGGCAGGGGACCCGAAGGCAGGCUCCCAGGGGGGCAAGAGAAAGCCGGCCGCAGCAAGAACUAAGGGAGCAGACAGUGAGGGCGAGGGACCCGAAGGAAGGCUCCCAGGGGGGCAAGAGAAAGCCGGCUGCAGCAAGAACUAAGGGAGCCCACGGUGAGGGCGAGGGACCCGAAGGAAGGCUCCCAGGUGGGCAAGAGAAAGCCGGCCGCAGCAAGAACUAAGGGAGCCCACGGUGAGGGCGAGGGAUGCGAAGGAAGGCUCCCAGGGGGGCAAGAGAAAGCCGGCCGCAGCAGAACUAAGGGAGCAGAGGGUGAGGGCGAGGGACCCGAAAGAAGGCUCCCAGGGGGGCAAGACAAAGCUGGCAGUAGCAAGAACUAAGGGAGCAGACGGUGAGGGCGAGGGACCCGAAGGAAGGCUCUCAGGGGGGCAAGAGAAAGCCGGCAGUAAUAGCAAGAACACUUAAGUUUGUGCAACUCAAACUUUUUCAUAUUGGCUACAUCUCCAAUGCAUUAACAGUUACAGUCGGCUUAUACAUCCCAUCCGGUGUUUCAUUAAGAACUAACAACCCACCUUCUUUUAUUUAAUUAAAAAAAUUAGUCGCUGUACACGUAUCUCAGGGCAGUGCCUUAGACAUAGUGUUUUUUAGCUGUCAGUCAGUGACUGGUUAAAAUCUGAGAUUCUUGAAGAAAUUUAGGCUGAGUGAUAGUAAAAGAGUAAGAAGUGACUGAAGGAACAGAUUAUUAGGAGUAGUAAAGUCAGGUAUUGUCUUCCCUUUUCUCCCUUUGCUGAUGUCAUCUGCUCACAUAGAUUUUAACUACCUCUUUGCUGGGGACUUCCAAAUCAACAUAUCCAGCCUUCUUUUCUCUUCUGAGCUCCCGCAUUUCCUCCUAUUUGCCGGUAAUCUCUAUUUCAGUCAACAUGGAUCUUAUGUUACCAGAAACACAAAACAGUUCCAGCUCUCAGAAUUUACAAUCUUCUGGGGGAGAAAAUAUGCAAAUAUAUACAAAGCAAACUAUAUACUGGAUAACUAGGAAAUAAUUAGCUGAAGGGAGGCUGGCAUUAAUUAAUAUUAAGAGAAGUUGAGAGAGGCUUUUUUUUUUUUUCUUGCUGAGGCAAUUGGAAUAAGUGACUUGCCCAGAGUCACACACAGCUAGGAAGUAUUAAGUGUCUGAGGUCAUAUUUGAACUCAAGUCCUCCUGAUUUCAGGGCUGGUGGCUAUCCACUGCACUACCUAGCUGCCCCCAGGCUUUCUUAUAAAAGACGAGAUAUUAAUUGGGACUUAAAGGAAUCCAAAGAAAUUAAUAGAGCUGAAGAAGGAGAACACCCCAAACAGGUCAGAAAAGUCAGAGAAAGUUCCCGGAACAGGGAAAUGAAGUGUUUUAUUUGUAGAGGCUGUCCAUCAUUGGAUCAAAGGGUACAUGGUGAGGAGUGAAGUAUAAAAAAGACUAGAAAAAUAGGACCUGAAAAGGUGCAAUGUAUAUCCCCCUAACACUUCUCAGAGCUUCCUGCUUCACUUUGUUACAUUCAUUUUUAUUAUUUGUUUGGAUGAAGGCAAAUCAGAUGACAGGAUGAGAUUCUAAAAACAAAACUGUCCCUCCAACCUGGAUCAUAUGGACAUAUUCAAUAAGUGAAAUUUUAUAGGGAUCCCAAAUGAAGGAAAAUCAGAUGACAUCAUGAUAAUCUUUAAAAAAAAAAGCCUCCCCAAGCUGAAUCAUAUGGAUCAUAUCUAAUUAGGGAAAUUUAAUAGGGAUAAAUGUAAAGUUCCAAAUGAGUUAAAAACAACUGUACACAAACAGAAUAUUCAUGUGAAUAUUGAUCUGACAUUUUUAGGGGACUGCUAGUUCAACAUGAAUUUACAUAGAAGUCAAAAAACUAAUAAUGGGGUGCAGCUUCUAGGGAAGAUGUAAUGAUAUCCUUAAGGUCUCCCUGGCCUCGGGAACCCUGCUUGUAGGUCCACAAUCAUUGCUGGCUGUCAGAUAACAAUGUAUAAUGAGGUGCAUAUGGGACCAUUUCUCAAUUUUAUCUCUAAGCCAUAAAAUUUGCAUCUCAGUGACAUGAAACACCUGGUCUCUCUAUCUUUUUUUCUAUAAGUUUACCUUUUUUGACUGGUUCUUUGUGAAAUUCUUUUGGAACUUAAUAAUAAAGUAAUAAAUCUUUGCCCCUUAACUUGGAAACAAAUUGAGUUUGUGAAUUUUUUCACCAUACCUGUGACACUAACCUGGGGACCUUAACAUUAAAUGUUGAGGUAUCUGUCAACAUUUAGGGUCCCUCAAAGAAUCAUAGUAUCUUGGACAAGGGGUCUUAGCUUUUUUCUUUUUGGGGGGUGUCAUGGGACUCUGGCAAUCUGGUAAUGUUUAUGUAAUGAGGUCUUCAGUGUUGGGUAUGGUUGGCAGAGGAACUGAUAAAAAUUAAUCCCUAUAGCAGGCAGGGAGAAGGCACCAAUAGAGAUUAGCUCUAUGGUCCCUCCUUUUGGGGAGAUUCUAGUCAGAAAUCCAAGUUAUGUCAAAUUCCUGAGGUCCACCCUCUAUAGGAGUCUCAGGCAGCCUUAAUUUGUCAUGAUGACCUUCAGAAAUCCCAUUAACGUCCUUGAGGUUAAAUUUUCCCUAAAAAAUCUACCAUAAGGUCUAUGAUUUCACCACUACCUUCCUUAGGGUCAGUUCCUGCCUCAUGAUGUUUUUCCCCUUAUCCCUCCUUCAUGCCCUAUCAUAUCCUGUGGUAUCCCAACCUUAUGGGGUGCUCAAUUUCUACUGAGUAAUGGUGAUUUCUACUGGGGAACUUGUCUUUCAUAUACUCUCCCACUCUAUUUCAUAUUUAUCAUCUCCAGUAUCUAUUAUAUCUCUCCAUUUUCCCCUAAUAUAAAUUUAUAAAUAUAAAUAUAUAAAUAUAUAUUUCUUCAGUCAGAACCCCAAUUUUGGUACCUACCAUCAUCUGGUGUCUACAUCACCCACAUCACAUGGACCCUUUCUCAGAAUAAUGGUCUUAAAUCCACAAAAUAAAAUAAGAUUACAAAAAGAAGCAAAUUAUAUUGAUAUAUAGUUAGUGAAAUAUUUUUAAAAAUCUCAGGCUCCCUAAAUUAUAUAUCAUAGAUUCCUUGGAGUCUGCUUCCCAGGUUAAGAACCCCAGACCUAGAACAAGGUAGGUUAUACCUUCUGCCUUCUGCCCUGGUCAGCCACAUAUGGAGUUUUGUAGGUACAGGUGCUGCAUUUUGUUGUUGAAGAUAGAUCCAGGAGUCAGGUUGUCCUAAAUUUAAAUCCAGUUUAAAUCAUUUUUUACCUCAGUUUCCUCAUCUGUCAAUGAGCAGGAGAAGGAAAUGGCAAAAUUCUGCAGCACCUUUAUGGUCAAAACCCCAGCUGGGGUCAUGAAGAGUCAGACACGACUGGAACAAUUGACAGCAACACUAUUAUUUUUGGAGAAUCUAUUGGCAGUCUUGAAAUGAGCUCCUUGAAGAUAACAAACUUCUUAGCUGUGAAGGGAUAGUUGUUUUUUAUGUGUGAAUGUGUCUGAAGAAGGGCAAGAUGAUUUUCAUCCCUUGAUUUGCAGGGAAAGUUUGCAGUGAUUUUCUGGAGAGAGUUUUAGUUUUUUGGUUUGGAUUUGGGGCAGAUAAAUGGAAGUUGGUUCACUUAGUCCCAGGGGCAUUAGAAAAGGACUACAAUCUCUGGGGACAUUCCUGGGUAACCUUGGAAAUGCUAAAUAUUAUAUGAAAAAAGAUCUACUGUGAAGCAUUCCCAGAUAACCAAAGUUCUGAGUUUUGGGAACCUUGGUAGAAUCAUUCUUGGAAAGGCUUAAAAGUAGAAACACACAAUCAUCACUUUAUAUUGUGAUCAGUUAGGUAAGUGAACAUUUCCAUCUUGAUGACCGUGGUGAGAGUGACCCAUUUUGGAGGAGUUGAAAGCCUUUGUAGUGUCAGAAAUUGACUGUACCAAGACAAAAGGUGGUGAUUACAGGGCAGGCAGAGCCUGAUCUUCAGGCCUGAUUUUUUUUAAGGAGAUUAAGGCUACACUUAGAACAAGAAACCAUCACCAAAGAUUUAAAUUCUAAAGUUCUAUGUUUUGGGGAUAUUUUUUGGAAAUAAUCAAGGUUAAAUGAUUUGAUCAGAAGCAUAUACCUAGUGCCGAGGCUGGAUUUGAACUCACUUAGUGGCCCUUCUACUUUUUAAAAAAGGCUUUUUCUGAUUUCCUCAGUUAUUAGUGCUUGCCCUCUUUCCCUCAAACCCAUUCCCAUCCUGCAGUAACUUUUUAAAUUAUUUUGUGUAUAUAUUUGAACAUUAAAGAUGGAUCUUCCCAAUUCUAGACCUAAUACUCUAUCCAUUGAUCCAUCUAGUUGCCUUAUAAGUGUUUAAUAAAUAUUGAUUGACUGAUUGAUGAUUGAUUAAGGAAUAUGAUGAAGGGACUGGGGUUGUUGAGCUGGAUCUUCCCAGUUCUAGACUAAUGCUCUAUCCAUUGAUCCAUCUAGCUGCCUCAUAAGUGUUUAAUAAAUAUAGAUUGAUUGAUUGAUGAUUGAUUAAGAAACAUAAUGAAAGGACUGGGGUUGUUAAGCUGGAUCUUCACAUUUCAGACUAAUGCUCUAUCCAUUACUCCUUCUAGCUGCCUCAUAAAUGUUUAAUAAAUAUUGAUUGAUUGAUUGAUGAUUGAUUAAGGAAUAUGAUGAAAGGACUGGGGUUGUGAAACUGGCUCUUCACAUUCCAGAUCUAAUGCUCUAUCCAUUGAUCCACCUAGCUGCCUCAUAAGUGUUUAAUAAAUAUUGAUUGACUGAUUGAUGAUUGAUUAAGGAAUAUGAUGAAGAGACGAGUUGUUGAGCUGGAACUUCCCAGUUCCAGACUAAUGCUCUAUCCAUUGAUCCAUCUAGCUGCCUCAUAAGUGUUUAAUAAAUAUUGAUUGAUGAUUGAUUAAGGGAUAUGAUGGACCGUGAUUGUUGAACUGGGCUCUAUCUUCCAAGAUGGUAGCAUGCUACAGUAGGGGAAGGACACCACACCAGCCUGAGCAGC